GUCCCUGCUGCGCAAUGGGUUGCGCAUUGGACUUCUAAUUCAAAGGUCAUGGGUUCGAAUUCCACCUGGGGUG
rnacentral:tRNA from 1 species